rnacentral:lncRNA from 1 species
AGAUCAAAGCCAAGGACCAGCAAGCCAAGCAAAGAUGGGUUCCAGCGGCUGGCUUCUCACAGGCAGCUUCGGGUCUACCGCUUUCUGCACCCUGCCCACCCACUCCCAGCAGAACUGGAACCCCUCUCCCUGAGGACAGGACAUUUUGAACCAUUCACGUAAAAGUCUCAACCACGGAGCGUCAGCACCAACCCACCCUUCAGGCGUUGGCAGCAAGGACAACUGUGUUCAGGUGAACUUCUAGCCCUUUCAGACUUCACUGGAUGCUUGGCAUUUGCUACACUAGUUCCCAUUUUAGUGUUCUGCUUGUCUCGUAGACUGGACUGUAAACAACUUGAGCACCAGGGACCUGAAGCCCCCGGAUUCCACAGCAGGGCACUUUACAUGUGAAGAGCCAUUAGCCAGGAAAUGCUUAUGGUUGUUAAUGAUGAUAAGCUACUCCAAACAUAGUUUCUUUUAUCUGCCUACAUCAGAAGCUUGGCUUCUUGAGACAAGAGACUCAGACUUCUCAUUUAUACUCUUGACAGACUGUGGAAAUCAAUAAUGGCUUGCACCCAUCAGUGUCCUGGAAGUAGGAUUGAGAGAGAAGAUUCUCUUGAGAACCGAUUUCUCCUCAAAAUAAGAUUAGGCUUGAAAAAAAAAAAAUCAACCUCCCCACUGCUUAGCUCACAGGUAUGGUGCUAAUGGCAGCAACUUAGUCAUGAAAUGGGGAACAACAAUGUAAAAAAUCCUUGUUAAUUUGCUUAUAAUUAUCCAGAACUAACUACAGGUACACUGAAGAACUGUAUACUUGAUGGGAGGGAGAUCUACACCGCUAAGUCAAUAAGACCAAUUUCCGAUUUUUCCCUGUGAGCAUUUAUUUGCAGAGCCACAUAUUGGCAACAUAAGAAACUAGCGUUGAACAAACCUAAGAAGUGAUGAAUCCUCCCCGGGAGGAGAGCUGCAGCCCUGAAAUCCAAAGCAGAAUGGGCUGGGGGCAGCUUGAGGUCUGUGGGCGAAACUCAGCACUCCCAGUCUAGGGUGCUGCUCACCCAUUAACUUGGCCUCCUCUUGCCACUGUUGUUUUAGCCCUUAGUGAGCAUCUGUGUGGCUCAGAUUUAACCAGACCAAAGGGGCUGUGGUGGUGAGAGGGCAGAGAAAGCUGGAGGAAGAAAUGGCUUUUUUUCUGGAGAGGAGUGAGGACUAAGUCACUUCAAGGAUGAUCAUAUUCCCAGGAGGAGCCAUGAUAUGAUAUUAUUUGAAUAUCUAGCUCCACGCAGCUCUAUUUUUCCCUUCUCACUACUAGAAGAUUGUAAUCACCCGGUAUCAGCACAUUCAAGAUACUACCGAGGACCUAACAGCAUGCCCAAAACCUCUCAUCUCUGCACAUAACUGCGUACAAAUGACUAAAAUCACUUUGCUUCAAAAACAGAGUAGCUGUGUGAAAGGCAUUUUAGAGCAUGUGGGAUUCCACACACAGGCAAGUUCCAGGGAUCUCAGAAGCUUGGCUAUUUCGUUCAGUGCCAAGGAGGCAAAGAUGAGGACAGGCAGUCGUGUGGGUGGGAGGCAGUCCUUGGAUGAUUAGCACAGGUGUCCAGGAGGGAGGGGAGGGUAUGGAAAUGGUACAAACAUGAGAGGAAGCUGUGCCAGUGGGUCAUCAUGCCCCAUUUGUACAGAACAUUGAGUGGACUGUAACUGUGGACAACUGAAAUACCGAAAAGAAAAUGUGCACACACUGUUUAAAUUCUAAACAGUGGGAGAAUCGUUGUUUAAAGAAGAACAGAUAAUUGCUCAUUCCACCCUCCCCAGUCUUUGAAAGAUAGACACAGGAGUGUCACACAGUACAAGAGUUUGUAUUACACAGAAAGAGGGACUUACAGACAGAAACAAAAUUUAAAAACAAACAAACCACCAGCAUUUAUCACCGUUUAUCCAGCCAGUGGUUUUCUUUAUCCCCUUGGCUAUUACUUUAGAUAUUUUUGCUUGGAACUUCUCCCCCACUUUUUCUGACAGCUCAUUGAUCUUGGGUUGGAUCAUCACAGUUCGUGGGAAACAAUACAGGCUACUUUUCUAGCUUAUUCCUUCUUAGAUGCCUCUUGGAUAUUGUCCAUUUAAUAUGUUUGAGAAAUAUAGAGAGACAAAACACACAGUGUUUUAAUCUCAGAGUAUAUGUAGUGUGUCCCUGGAGAAGAAGUCUCAUAUAUCCAAGGGAAUCAUUCCAUUAUUUUAAAGUAAGGCUUGUAUUUCAGAUUGAUCCACCUGGAACAUGUAAUCAAAACUCAUGAACUUUAAUAUAAAUUCCAGAUUCUGGUUUCUUAUCUAUAUUUUUGGGAACAUAACAUUGGUAGAUAAACUAAUUGAAAAAAAUAUUUUCAAUGUUGAUUUAGAAAUGGCUUUUAACUAUUUCUACACAUUCCAUCACUCCAUCUCAGAAGAAGCGGAGUAGAAAACUGCAGCAAAUGGGACUUUAUAUUAAAGUCCUAGGAAAUAUAUUCUGGCUGAUGUGAUGGUUCUUGUGUGUUUCAGUAGGCAUGUAACAUGUGAAUCGCUUUGUGGAACUGGGUUCGUGAGGCUAGUAUUUAUGAAGCUGUAUAUUUCCUUCUGUGUAGUAACACAGAGAGUGAUUCAGGAGAAUGAGAAAAUCCUGUUUCCUGGAAAUACCAUCCAUCCUGAAGGAGUUACGAGAACCAGAACAGAUAUGUAUUUUGCUAUUUAUCUCACACUUAAAGAUUAUACAAUCCAUUUUCCUAGGGCAAGCACAAAUGGUCAGUUUUAUAAAUCUUGAUGGACUAAGUCAAGUAAAAAAGCCCACUAGUUAAGAGUCCAGAUAUCGAGAGACACAAAUCUGAGGAACGAUCAAUUAGGACACCGUGGUAGCUUGUCUCCAAGAUGUCCAUCAUCAGCUCUUUCCUUCCCUGCAUGUUUGUGCUGUUCUCUAGUUGAACGGUGGCGUCUAUUCACUCCCUUAAAACUGGACUGGACUGUGACUUCUCUGAACAACAGUGACGUGAUGUUUCAUUCCCAGUGUUUGAGAGGAUAGGAAAUUUCUAAUUUCUUUUCCUUGGAACAUUUGCUCAGGAAAAAGCCAGUAACUAUGUAAGAAGGCUAACUACUGCGAGACCACCAUGCUAUGAGAAAGCGCAAGCCAUGUGGAGUGACUGCACGGGCUCUCAGAGAUGCCCAGCCAAGCCCCACCCUCCAUCCACCCGAGCCGAGGCUCUGCAGCCUACAGAUGAUUUCAAUUCCAGCCAUAAUCUAACUCCAACUUCACAGGAGACCUGAAGCAAGAACUAGCCAGUUAAGUCUAAUCAACUCAUUAAACUGUGAGAGAUAGGCAUACAUUGUUGUAGCCUACUAAGUUUUGAGAUGGUUGGUUAUGCACUGUGGAUUCCUAUUACCAAUCGGCUAUAAUUAUAAAAUAUCCACUGGCAAAUAUAAGUUCCAGAGGCAAAGACUGUGUUCCUUUUGCUCAUCAUUGUAUUCAUAACAUGCAGCACAGUGCCUAGAACACAGAAAGCCCUAAACUAAUAAUACGUAAAAGUUUGAAAAAGUUUAUCUGUACUAGUAUGAAAGAAAGACCCAUAGUCAAACGGCUGACAUUUUUUAGCAAGUUUGAUGGGCACAAUAACCUUAUGGUGGUGGUAUUACUACCUCUGUCUUUGAGAUGAGGGAACCUCAGCUUUUUUUUUUUUUUUUGAGGAAGUAAGCUUCCCAAGCUCAGAAAGGUAGGGGAGAGGGCCAGGCAUGGUGGCUCACACCUGUAAUCCUAACACUUUGGGAGGCCAAGGCGGGCAGAUCACCUGAGGUCGGGAGAUCGGGGCCAUCCUGGCCAACAUGGAGAAACCCUGUCUCUACUAAAAAUACAAGAAAUUAGCCGGGCAUGGUGGCACAUGCCUGUAAUCCCAGCUACUUGGGAGGCUGAGCCAGGAGAAUCGCUUGAACUCAGGAAGCAGAGGUUGUGGUGAGCCGAGAUCACACCAUUGCACUCUAGCCUGGGCAACAAGAGCGAAACUCUGUCUCAAAAAGAGAAAAAAAAAAAAAGAAAGAAAGGUAGGGGAGAGAUUUGAACUCAGAUUUGUGCAAUUCUAAAGCCAGCCUGUUUAUUAUAGUCUCCCAGGAGACUACAACAGAAACAAUGAGAAAACAAUUUGAAAGAGAUGCAAAACCCACCCCUUGAAUCUUACCCAGGACUAUGGAGCUCCAUUAAUUGCUGUCAACACGCUGGAACCUAUUUCACAUGAAGCUCAGACCAAUUACAAUUAAUGCCACAGUCAUGACUACAAACUAGAAACCAAUGCCAGAGGAAGCUUAAGUUAAAGAAAGCAACGAUCACGCACAUAUAUUAUGUUAGCAAUUAGGCUUAAUCCUAGAAUCGUGAAGCCAAAGAGAAUAUAUUAAAGAGAGAACAGUGCCCUCCUGGGAAGAAGAGCAAUUUCAAAUAGACUUUUUAGUGGCUUUCUACAUUACUUACUUGAAUAUAUUAUGCUCCCCUAGAAUUACUAUAUUACAAUUACUCACGCCACAUUUUAUUUAUUUCAGCAAGGAAAUGGGAUGGUGCAAUGAGCUCAGUGGGCAGACGGUUUGGUUAUUUCAAUGAAUAAUUUGAAUGUCAACAAGUUGGUGGAUGCUAAGAUGAAAGGGGAAGUAGUAAAUAGCAAAGGUCUCAAUGCCUGACUCUGAGAUGGAGUAAGGAUGAGCUAUCAGGACUGGCACUUCACUUCUAAAUGUUGAGCACUCAGGUUUUGCUAAAUUUAUAAAAGCACAUGAACUAACUAACAUCGCAUAUUUCCUUAACGAGAAGACCAGUUUAUCUCUGUUUAAAACAGUUCUGAUCUACUCAAAUACACAUUUUUAAUUUUCACUGAAAAAUGUUAUAAAUAAAUCAAAAUUUAAAUAAAAAAACUGGGAGGGAAAGGUAGAUCUACUUCUCAAUUCAGAAGAUUAAUAAAAGGAUUAAGGAAUUAAAUAAUCACAUUCUCUAGCCUCAGCUCACGACUUUUUCAAGGCUCAGUUUCUCAAUAAAUGGAAAAGCAAAUUCUCAUUAUUCUCCCAAUCUGUUUGAAAGCAGAGCUGGGGUGUUACAGUGAUUAACAGUUAUCAAGGCCCAUUAAAGUUGUUAAUUAUAGUGGCGUUCACUAUCUUUUUCCAUCAUUUUUAGCUAUUGAGACAGGGUCUUUGUGGAUCCCAAGGAUCAUGUGUUUGCAGUUCAAUUCAGCAGCCACUAGGUGGUAAUAUUGUUGAUUUUGGUAGCCAUGAAGUGUGAUCUAUCAGACCUGCCCUCUUAAAUGGAAUUAUGUACAUCCCUUAUAUCAUCAAGAUGUAAUUAUAGAAAUAAUUAUACUUUAAAAUAUGUAAAAUAUUUUAAUUGUGAAAAAUAUAAUCCCUUAUAAAAGUUCCAUGCAUAUCUGGUACCUUUUAAACUUAUGCUAAUUCUACUUACCUUUUAUUCUAAUUAUACACAUGACUAUCUUCAAAUUAUACAUAUAACAAAAAUAAAGUGUCUGGUCUUAACAGAAAUCCAGCUUAUAUUCAUUGCUUCUGGCUUAUUUUUAGAAGAGAUGAAAAAGAUGCACAUAACUUUCCUUCUAAAAUUAUGGCCGUCCUCUGUAGUAAAUAAUUAUUUGCCACUUGAACUUGGAACCACUGCUAUUCGCACCAUUGGGGUCCUGGGACUCAAAAGAAACCAAGUGGUUCUCUAAGUUAGUAGGAUGGCACAGUAACAACGCUGGGAUUGAGCUCACCCUGACCCUGAGUAAGUUACCAAGACCCUCAGACUCAGUUUUCUUAUCUGGAAAGUUAGGAAUGAAAAAAAUCAGUUUCAAAGGAUUGCUGCAAAAUUAAAUGAAGUGCUAUGCACCUGUUGAAGUCAAGUAUAGCAUGCUCCCCAAUCACCCCCCAACACACACACCAGAACUAACAAUUCAGGAAGGAAAUUUUCAGUAUAUUGGUGUUUCUCACAGAGGGUCAAAGUGGGACAAUAAGAAUGCCUUAAAUGUAACACAUUGUAUUUAUUAAAGCUUUAUAGUUUAUAUGGUGGUUUCCCAUGUAUGUUAUCUAAUUUCAUCUUCAUAAUGACACUGUGUACUAGAUAUUACUAUUCCCAUUUUACAGACAAGAAAAAAAAAAAGGCCCCAAGAACUUAAAAUCCUUUGCAAAAUCACAUAGAAAGGUUAAGUGGUGAACCCAGUGUUCAAACCUAGGUCUUCUGACUUCAAGCACAAAGCUCUCUCACUACAUUCAGAUCACUUAAAAACACAACAUUUUAUUGUGCCUAUCGUUAAUAAGACUGUAUUGCACACUUAAGAAUUUGUUAAAGAGGGUAGAAUUCAUGCUAAGUAUUCUUACUAAAAUAAUAAAAGUUGUAUGUAUGUAGAAAAAAGUAUUGCUUAAUCUAAUUAAACUAAACAGCUUCUGCACAACAAAAGAAACUAGCAUCAGAGUGAACAGGCAACCUACAGAAUGGGAGAAAAUUUUUGCAAUCUACCCAUAUGACAAAGGCCUAGUAUCCAGAAUCUAUAAGGAACUUAAAUUUACAAGAAACAACCCCAUCAAAAAGUGGGCAAAGGAGAUGAACAAACACUUCUCAAGACAUUUAUGCGGCCAACAAACAUGAAAAAAAGUUCAACAUCACUGAUCAUUAGAGAAAUGCAAAUCAAAACCACAAUGAGAUACCAUCUCCCACCAGUCAGAAUGGCGAUUAAAAAGUCAAGAAACAAUAGAUGCUGGUGAGGCUGCAGAGAAACAGGAAUGCUUUUACACUGUUGGUGGGAAUGUAAAUUAGUUCAACCAUUGUGGAAGACAGUGUGGCGAUUCCUCAAGGAUCUAGAACCAUAAAUGCCAUUUGACCCAGCAAUCCCAUUACUGGUAUAUACCCAAAGGAUUAUAAAUCAUUCUGCUAUAGAGAUGCAUGCACACGUAUGUUUAUUGCAGCACUAUUUACGAUAGCAAAGACUUGGAACCAACCCAAAUGCCCAUUGAUGAUAGACUGGAUAAAGAAAAUGUGGUACAUAUAUACCAUGGAAUACUAUGCAACCAUAAAAAAGGAUGAGUUCAUGUCCUCCUAGUUUUUCCAAAACAAACUAAUGAAAUGUGAAAAGGGUGAAUUCACAAGGGGCUAUACAUAGAAAGAAAGAGCCUGACUGACUUGGCUCCAUCCUCUACUUCUACCUGGGGACAUUUCCAAUCAUCAGAAAGAGGUUAAUGCAAUUGCAGCUCCAGAGUCUCAUCAAACUAUCUUGGAUUCUGCCAUGAUGAAAGGGAAAUGAGGAGAUUACCCAAUAACACCAUCAUGAGGUUGUCCUUAGUAAUACUUCAAUUCUUACAUGGUUGAGGGCCUACUCAAAGUUGUAAAAAUCAGUUUAAGGUAUAGUCCCCUGUUCUACCAAAGCAAGCAAAUAAACUGGUUCCAUAACGUUGAAAAGAUGUAGGGGUGUGUGUGUGUGUAUGUGUGUGUGUGUGUGUAAAUAUCUGCUGCUGCUCUAGGAAAGACCCUGUAAGAGUUAAUGAUACUUAUCUGACAAAUAAUAUCUUACCUCCAAACCCAACCACUACCAUCUCUCUUCCACUAGCAUGUAGUUCUGAGACAGUGUUUAAAAACAGAAGACAAGGCUGGGCGUGGUGGCUCGUGCCUGUAAUCCCAGCACUUUGGGAGGCUGGGGUGGGUGGAUCACUUGAGGUCAGGAGUUCCAGAAAAACAGGAGACAAACUCUUUAAAAAACUAAGAGUUAAGGCCGGGCGUGGUGGCUCAUGCCUGUAAUCCCAGCACUCUAGGAGGCCGAGGUGGGCGGAUCACAAGGUCAGGAGAUCGAGACCAUCCUGGCUAACGCAGUGAAACCCCGUCUCUACUAAAAAUUACAAAAACUUAGCCAGGCGUAGUGGCGGGCACCUGUAGUCCCAGCUACUCGGGAGGCUAAGGCAGAAGAAUGGCAUGAACCUGGGAGGCGGAGCGUGCAGUGAGCUGAGAUCGCGCCACUGCACUCCAGCCUGGGUGACAAAGCGAGACUCCAUCUCAAAAAAACAAACAAACAAAAAAAUUAGAGUUAAGGCCUAAAAUGCAAAUACCCACGGAAGAGGUCAGAUCCUGACAAUGAUCUCAAGAUAUAAAUGACUGAGAUUUGGUUCUAUGUUUGUGAUUAGGUUUAAAGGAUGGUCUGUGUCGGGGUAAUCUGAGAGAAGAUCUUUACUCUCUCAUUUUGGCAUAUUCAUAAAAGUGUACAUUGAAGCACCUGUGUAAUGAAGAGCCCAAAUGAAAUAAAGAACAGGAUUAUGGCAAUAAGAAAAAAAAUAUGAGGAACAGGUAAAACACCCUACAUAUUAGAGGCCUCUUCUUGACCAUAAUGUAAAUUAGGGUUCAUGUUACAUACCUAAUAAUAACAUCACAAAAGUGUGACGCCUGAAACUGAAGUGAUGAUGGAAGCAUGAGCAAAAUAAGUGAAGUCAAUCCAAGUCAAGGAGAAAGAACGGAGGGGUUCCAGCAGGUUCAUGUGUGUGCACGUGUGUGUGCGUGCACACGUGUGUGUGUAUUAGACUGUCUUGAGCUCUCAAUGCCUUUAAACAUUUCCUUGCAUUUUCUCAUUGACUGGGAGGCUUCCAUUAGAUAGAGCCAUCUAGAGCGAUGUUGAAGAAGGCAGCCAUAGGAAACAAACCAAGGUACUAGCUCAUAGAUCUUGCUUGAUAAGGGACCUUCAGAUUUCCUUUUAAGUUGUCCAGUUCAGCACCCAAUGAAAGUAAUGAGACUGUGAGUAAGACCAUUUGGUUUCCAAUUCUAGGUUCAGGUGGCUAAGGGACCCCAGUUGGUAUAAUGAUGGAGAAGCAAUGAAUAGGAAGCAGAAUCUUAGGGAAAAAUGUGAAGUGCGAAGUACUAUAGAAAAUUGUUUUUCAAAAAAAAUUUGUUUACUAUUUUAAGAGGUACUCACUGGUUAAAACACCCAAAUUUAUAACAAAUCUGCAUACGCCUAUGAACCUCAUCUGCCUAUUUUCUACCUGCUGCAGCAAUGAACCUGUUUGAUUAGUUUUAGGAGUAAUAGUCUAAAUAUUUAACAAUAACAUAGGUACUAACUAGCAGAACAGGCAACCUGUAUGGGUGUUAUGGUGAGGACCAGCUGAAUAUCAGUCUUGGGUUAGUUCUCUUUUGUUUUUUUUUUUUUUUUUUUUUUCAGAGACAGAGUCUCACUCUGUCACCCAUGCUGGAGUGCAGUGGCGCAAUCUCGGCUCACUGCAAGCUCUGCCUCCCGGGUUCAUGCCAUUCUCCUGCCUCAGCCUGUUGAGUAGCUGGGACUACAGGCGCUUGUCACCACGCUCAGCUAAUUUUUUUUUUUUUUGUAUUUUUAGUAGACACGGGGUUUCAUCGUGUUAGCCAGGAUGGUCUCGGUCUCCUGACCUCGUGAUCUGCCCGCCUCGGCCUCCCAAAGUGCUGUGAUUAUAGGCGUGAGCCACCGCGCCCGGCCAGUCUUAGGUUAAUUCUUAUUUGUUCUCACUGUUAGGUAGUAUUCAUUUUUUGCUUCAUUUUUAUCUGAAUGAUAAAAUAAUAUACCUAAUAAUAACAUAACUACUCUUCUGACCCUUGCUUUUAUCCACUUAAACAUAUACAUUAGGGAUCCUCCAGGUCAAUACAUACAGACUUUUUUUUUAAAAAAGAUGCUUAGUAUUCCAAUGUAUGGAAAUACCAUAAUUUCACAACUCCAUUACUGGAUAGUCAUUAGAAACCGACUUCGGGGGAAAACAUACGCUCUUUGCAGGAAUUUCUGGGAAAAAAAAUCCCCUCUAGCCCUUUUAGAUAAAAGCCUACCUAAUAGACCUGUGAUAAAAUAGCUUUCUUUUCUUUAUUUUUUUUUUGGAGGAGUCUCACUGUGGCCCAGGCUGCAGUGCAGUGGUAUGAUCUCAGCUCACUGCAACCUUUGCUUCCUGGGUUCAAGCGAUUCUCCUGUCUCAGCCUCCAGAGCAGCUGGGAUUACAGGCGCACACCACCAUGUCCGGCUAAUUUUUGUAUUUUUAGUAGAGAUGGGGUUUCGCCAUGUUGGC